UGUAAAGUGAGCACAGCCCAACAAAUCCCCCCUCGAGCGAGAAACAUUGGCCCCGUCACCCCCACAAGGGGCUGCCCUGGGUGGGCACCGUGGCUGGCAGGGGGCCCUCCUGGUCCUGGCAGUGGUGACAGUGUCAAAAUCUUCAUCCUCUUUCUCAUUCUUUCUCUCUUUCUUGCUCAUCGUGAAGAGGGAAGAGUGUUUUGUCUCUACUUGGAGUUGACCAACCUGAUGUGCUAACAGCUGCUGUGCCCAAUCCACGAGGGGCUGCUUCUGGCACUUGUACUGAGCCAUCAAGCCCAGGAUUUUCUCCCUGCUCAGAUGCUGGAGCCAGCUGGAGUCAGACCAAAGCUGAGGAGCAAACCUUCUCCUCUCCACAUUCCAGCUAAUGCAUGGUAUGACUUUGGCUUCAUGCUUGGCACCCAGAUACCUUUCACAUGCAGGAUUGCCAACAGUGGGACCAAGAGGACUUUCACUUGGACUUGACCUGGACUUCUCCCACUCUGGGGAGCUGAACAUGGAGCAGUGCACAGCCCUUGGUUCUCUCUGCAGAAACUCAGAGAUUGCUGCGAGAGGGCCAGAUGGGAGUAAUCUUUUGGGGAAAAGCAUGGAGGAAAUGCAGGUGGAUGCUUUCUUUCUGCUUUUGAAGGAGCUGUCCCUGGUGCUUGGUGGGGCCACCUCUGUGUUCCGCCACUUCUAUGGGUCCACGGGCAGCCAGAAUGAAUUGCUGUCGUGAACGUCUGAAAGGAGAUAAAGCGGCAGCAAACUCUUCUCCCCUGUUGCAGAUAAACCACUAUUAACAGCCAAGGGUUUCUGGAAUGAAAAGGGUGACUCUCCAUUGAAAGCAGUGAUAAAUCCUGGCCAUCCAGCAUAAUCCAGUCCACCGUAUCGGGAAAUCUCAUGGGAGCUGGCAGCACUGAGAGCAGCAAGGUCUUUUCAUGCUACAGUUCUCCCGUGGACAGAUAAUCUCCAUGGCCAACAACUGCAAAUGCUGGAGGUUGGAUCCUGAAUGCUAUUACCUCGGCUUUUACUCCCCUUCCCUCCUCAGCAAAAGCACUGCUGCCUUCUGCAGGAAGACAGGGUGUACCUGCAAACUUUGCCUGCAAAGGGGAUCACAGGCUGCAUUCUGUAUCCUACGUGAGCAAGAAUAUCAUACAUCAUCCUCCUGCUGAUCUGGCAGUGCAAGCAGCCCUGUAAAGCAGCGAUUUAAUGUACUUCUCAGUGCCUGAGCUUUUCGUCUUGCUAUGCUUAACCUGAUGUAUUGUUAUUUGAUGCAGAACAGUAGGGGCAGGUACAAAGAGGUAACAUGAAAAUAAAAGGUCAGUGGGUGCCUGCU
rnacentral:lncRNA from 7 species